GCUCAGGACGAACGCUGGCGGCGUGCCUAAGCUUAUGCAAGUCGAACGCGAACGGCUCCUUCGGGAGCCUAGUAGAGUGGCAAACGGGUGAGUAACGCGUGGGUAACGUACCCUGAUCCUGGGAAUAACCCUCGGAAACGAGGGCUAAUACCGAAUGUGGCGAACGACCGGUUGGUCGCUCGCUAAAGGUGGCCUCUUCUAUGCUGCCGGGUUGGGAUCGGCCCGCGUCCCAUUAGCUAGUUGGUGAGGUAACGGCUCACCAAGGCCACGAUGGGUAGCCGGCCUGAGAGGGUGUACGGCCACACUGGCACUGAGACAAGGGCCAGUCCCCUAUGGGAGGCGCAGGCGGGAAUAGUUCACAAUGGGCGAAAGCCUGAUGACGCGACGCCGCGUGAGCGAAGAAGACCUUCGGGUUGUAAAGCUCUGUCAGGAGGGAAGAAGGCUCUACGGGUUAAUAGCCCGUGGAAUUGACGGUACCUCCAGAGGAAGCCCCGGCUAAAUACGUGCCAGCAGCCGCGGUAAUACGUAUGGGGCAAGCGUUGUCCGGAUUUACUGGGCGUAAAGGGCGCGUAGGCGGUUUGUUAAGUCGAAGGUGAAAUCCUCGGGCUCAACUCGAGAAUUGCCUUCGAUACUGGCAAACUAGAGUGGCGGAGAGGAAAGCGGAACUCUUGGUGUAACGGUGGAAUGUGUAGAUAUCAAGAGGAACACCGGUGGCGAAGGCGGCUUUCUGGACGCACACUGACGCUCAGGCGCGAAAGCGUGGGUAGCAAACAGGAUUAGAUACCCUGGUAGUCCACGCCAUAAACGAUGGGUACUAGGUGUCGGGGGUAUCGACCCCUCCGGUGCCGCAGUUAACGCACUAAGUACCCCGCCUGGGGAUUAUGGUCGCAAGGCUGAAACUCAAAGGAAUGACGGGCCCCGCACAAGCGGUGGAGCAUGUGG
rnacentral:rRNA from 1 species